CCGUGCUAGACGGGGAAUUAGCGGUGCCCUGUAACCUGCAACCCGCUAUAGCAGGGUCGAAUUCCUGAGCUGAGGGUUUAUCCUGUGAGGUCUGGCCAGGAUAAGUGGUGUAGAAGUCUGGGUCCUGCGCAAUAAGAGGCCUUGAACCGUGUCAGGUCCGGGAGGAAGCAGCACUAAGAGGUUUAUCUUAUGUGCCGCGGGGUAGCCUGGAUGGAGCUAACUAUCCUGGUAACGCUCGGGGGAUAUUCUCGAAGCCAGGUGCACGG
rnacentral:SRP_RNA from 1 species